rnacentral:ncRNA from 2 species
UGGUACGCUUCCGGGGCCAGUCGUGCCACAUCCGAGGCCAGGGAAUCCGGUGGAAAUCCGGAACUGACGCGCAGCGGUGAGGGGGACGGGCGGAGCAUGCAUGACGCCACUGGGGCGGCCGGCCGGAAGGACGGCGCGCACUGCCCCGGGAAGGCGCUCCGUCCGGGCGAACCCGAGUCCGAAGACCUGCUGGCACCCCGCCGCCAUG